CCGAAACAGGAUCGACGAACGUGUAAAGGCGUGGCUUUGUCCCGGUGAGGUACCACCGUUAUCGGUCCGUAAAGCAUAAUUGCCAACGACAAUCGUGCUCCGGUUGCAGUUGCCGCGUAAGCGGUAACAAGACCGAAACCUAAGCCCUUGCGC
rnacentral:tmRNA from 1 species